rnacentral:lncRNA from 1 species
UAGCCACUGAGCAGGGUUAAAACUGGGAAGCAGGGUAAAACUGAAGUAGCCAUCUUAAAAUGCUUGGGGGGAAGUCUAUGCCUUACUAUGUUUCAAUCACAUUUCUAGAUCCCUGCCUACAGUCCAGGACCUCUGCUUUUGGUGCUUCCAGUCCAACAGGUGAAGCCACNACUGCCGUGACUCCAAGGAUCUGCUUUGAGUGAAGAUCCCUAGACCAACCUGAUGCCUUUGAGGAGAGGGCAGGAGGCUUGGGAGAAAGCAGUGAUCAGAGGGCCUGAUCCUGACAAUAUGAACCUCUCAAAUAUUCCAAAUACGUUGGCAAUCCUGGAUCAAGGGGACGCAAACGGGUUUGUUUAUCAGAUGUAAUCCACUUUCUGCUCCCUUCCGGCUAAUGUCUCCUCCCCCAAGCAUACUGAUGUUCUUAUUCCCCAGGGGAAUCUGAAGGGAGCAAGCUUAGUUUUUGCUUGUUUAAAGUAAAGUUCUGGGAGAAUUUCCAAGAGAGAGAGAGAGAGAAGAUUAUCUACCCUGAGGAGCCAGAACGGGAAAACGAAAAAAGAAAGGAAGG